GGUCUCGUGGUGAAAUGGAUAUCACACGUGUCUUCGGAACAUGUAUUUGGGGUUCGAGUCCCUACGAGACCGCCA
rnacentral:tRNA from 1 species